rnacentral:lncRNA from 1 species
AUUCAAAUCCAACUUUUAUUCAAAACUUCACGUGUAAAGGUACAAGUUUUGAGUUUUUGAACUUGAGCCCUAAAGCAAUGUUGUAGAGUUUGAAAAACUCUCCAACUUUCAUUUUGGGCAUUUCUUCAUUAGGGUUUUAGAUUGAUAGGAAAUUUUGCUUUACAGACAAGUCCCUGCAAUUUUCUGAAAUUGAGCAUAAGUCCUUGGGAAGUUCUAAUUCCCUUUCUUCUCUGUUCUUCUUCUUUCUCUGCCUUAUCCCUUCCCUG